AUUGAACGCUGGCGGCAUGCCUAACACAUGCAAGUCGAACGGCAGCGCGGGGGCAACCCUGGCGGCGAGUGGCGGACGGGUGAGGAAUACAUGGGAAUCUACCCUGUCGUGGGGGGAUAACGUAGGGAAACUUACGCUAAUACCGCAUACGACCGAGAGGUGAAAGCGGCGGACCGCAAGGCGUCGCGCGAUUGGAUGAGCCCAUGUCGGAUUAGCUAGUUGGCGGGGUAAAGGCCCACCAAGGCGACGAUCCGUAGCUGGUCUGAGAGGAUGAUCAGCCACACUGGAACUGAGACACGGUCCAGACUCCUACGGGAGGCAGCAGUGGGGAAUAUUGGACAAUGGGCGCAAGCCUGAUCCAGCAAUGCCGCGUGGGUGAAGAAGGCC
rnacentral:rRNA from 1 species